CGAGCGGACAGAUGGGAGCUUGCUCCCUGAAGUCAGCGGCGGACGGGUGAGUAACACGUGGGCAACCUGCCUGUAAGACUGGGAUAACUCCGGGAAACCGGGGCUAAUACCGGAUGAUUCUUUCCCUCACAUGAGGGAAAGCUGAAAGAUGGUUUCGGCUAUCACUUACAGAUGGGCCCGCGGCGCAUUAGCUAGUUGGUGAGGUAACGGCUCACCAAGGCGACGAUGCGUAGCCGACCUGAGAGGGUGAUCGGCCACACUGGGACUGAGACACGGCCCAGACUCCUACGGGAGGCAGCAGUAGGGAAUCUUCCGCAAUGGACGAAAGUCUGACGGAGCAACGCCGCGUGAGUGAUGAAGGUUUUCGGAUCGUAAAACUCUGUUGUUAGGGAAGAACAAGUACCGGAGUAACUGCCGGUACCUUGACGGUACCUAACCAGAAAGCCACGGCUAACUACGUGCCAGCAGCCGCGGUAAUACGUAGGUGGCAAGCGUUGUCCGGAAUUAUUGGGCGUAAAGCGCGCGCAGGCGGUUCCUUAAGUCUGAUGUGAAAGCCCCCGGCUCAACCGGGGAGGGUCAUUGGAAACUGGGGAACUUGAGUGCAGAAGAGAAGAGUGGAAUUCCACGUGUAGCGGUGAAAUGCGUAGAGAUGUGGAGGAACACCAGUGGCGAAGGCGACUCUUUGGUCUGUAACUGACGCUGAGGCGCGAAAGCGUGGGGAGCAAACAGGAUUAGAUACCCUGGUAGUCCACGCCGUAAACGAUGAGUGCUAAGUGUUAGAGGGUUUCCGCCCUUUAGUGCUGCAGCAAACGCAUUAAGCACUCCGCC
rnacentral:rRNA from 2 species